rnacentral:rRNA from 1 species
AGAGUUUGAUCCUGGCUCAGGAUGAACGCUGGCGGCGUGCUUAACACAUGCAAGUCGAACGAUCCUUCGGGAUAGUGGCGGACGGGUGAGUAACGCGUGGGAAUCUGCCCUCAGGAGGGGGAUAACGGCUGGAAACGGCCGCUAAUACCCCAUAUGCCGAGAGGUGAAAUGAAUUUCGCCUGAGGAUGAGCCCGCGUCUGAUUAGCUAGUUGGUGGGGUAAUGGCCUACCAAGGCAACGAUCAGUAGCUGGUCUGAGAGGAUGAUCAGCCACACUGGGACUGAGACACGGCCCAGACUCCUACGGGAGGCAGCAGUGGGGAAUUUUCCGCAAUGGGCGAAAGCCUGACGGAGCAACGCCGCGUGAGGGAUGAAGGCCUCUGGGCUGUAAACCUCUUUUCUCAAGGAAGAAGACCUGACGGUACUUGAGGAAUAAGCCACGGCUAAUUCCGUGCCAGCAGCCGCGGUAAUACGGGAGUGGCAAGCGUUAUCCGGAAUUAUUGGGCGUAAAGCGUCCGCAGGCGGCCUUGUAAGUCUGUUGUUAAAGCGUGGAGCUCAACUCCAUUUAAGCAAUGGAAACUACAAGGCUGGAGUGUGGUAGGGGCAGAGGGAAUUCCCGGUGUAGCGGUGAAAUGCGUAGAUAUCGGGAAGAACACCAGUGGCGAAGGCGCUCUGCUGGGCCAUAACUGACGCUCAUGGACGAAAGCCAGGGGAGCGAAAGGGAUUAGAUACCCCUGUAGUCCUGGCCGUAAACGAUGAACACUAGGUGUCGGGGGAAUCGACCCCCUCGGUGUCGUAGCCAACGCGUUAAGUGUUCCGCCUGGGGAGUACGCACGCAAGUGUGAAACUCAAAGGAAUUGACGGGGGCCCGCACAAGCGGUGGAGUAUGUGGUUUAAUUCGAUGCAACGCGAAGAACCUUACCAGGGUUUGACAUCCUGCGAACCCCUGAGAAGUCGGGGGAUGCCUUCGGGAGCGCAGAGACAGGUGGUGCAUGGCUGUCGUCAGCUCGUGUCGUGAGAUGUUGGGUUAAGUCCCGCAACGAGCGCAACCCACGUCUUUAGUUGCCAGCAUUCAGUUGGGCACUCUAGAGAGACCGCCGGUGAUAAACCGGAGGAAGGUGUGGAUGACGUCAAGUCAUCAUGCCCCUUACAUCCUGGGCUACACACGUACUACAAUGCUACGGACAAAGGGCAGCAAGCUCGCGAGAGUUAGCAAAUCCCAUAAACCGUGGCUCAGUUCAGAUCGUAGGCUGCAACUCGCCUACGUGAAGGAGGAAUCGCUAGUAAUCGCAGGUCAGCAUACUGCGGUGAAUACGUUCCCGGGCCUUGUACACACCGCCCGUCACACCAUGGAAGUUGGCCAUGCCCGAAGUCGUUACUCCAACCCUUGUGGAGGAGGACGCCGAAGGUGGGGCUGAUGACUGGGGUGAAGUCGG